rnacentral:snoRNA from 1 species
CUACGAGUGAUGACAAAAUUUCUCAUAUGUUCGCAGUUGAGAGUUCAGUUGAAUAAAAACGACUCGAUGAGUUAUCACGUAGCCUUCACUUAGAUGUCUGACGCGGAAU